AACGCGAAGAACCUUACCAGGUCUUGACAUCCUUUGACCACUCUAGAGAUAGAGCUUUCCCUUCGGGGACAAAGUGACAGGUGGUGCAUGGUUGUCGUCAGCUCGUGUCGUGAGAUGUUGGGUUAAGUCCCGCAACGAGCGCAACCCUUAUUGUUAGUUGCCAUCAUUUAGUUGGGCACUCUAGCGAGACUGCCGGUGACAAACCGGAGGAAGGUGGGGAUGACGUCAAAUCAUCAUGCCCCUUAUGACCUGGGCUACACACGUGCUACAAUGGGAAGUACAACGAGUCGCUAGACCGCGAGGUCAUGCAAAUCUCUUAAAGCUUCUCUCAGUUCGGAUUGCAGGCUGCAACUCGCCUGCAUGAAGCCGGAAUCGCUAGUAAUCGCGGAUCAGCACGCCGCGGUGAAUACGUUCCCGGGCCUUGUACACACCG
rnacentral:rRNA from 1 species